rnacentral:rRNA from 1 species
GAUGAACGCUGGCGGCGUGCCUAAUACAUGCAAGUCGAGCGAACGGACGAGAAGUUUGCUUCUUUGAUGUUAGCCGCGCACGUGAGUGAAACACGGGUAUAACCUACGUAUAAGACGGGGAUAACUUCGGAAAACCGGAUAUUACACCGUAUAAUAUGUUGAACCGUAUGGUUCAAUAGUGAAAUACAGUCUUGCUGUCACUUAUAGAUGCAGCCGCGCUGCAUUAGCUAGUUGGUAGGGUAACGGCUUACCAAGGCAACGAUCCAUAGCCGACCUGGGGGGGUGUCCGCCCACACUGGACCGGAGACACGCCCCAGACUCCUCCGGGAGGCACCAGUAGGGAAUCUCCCGCAUUGGGCGAAAGCCUGACGGAGCAACGCCGCGUGGGUGAUGAAGGUCCCCGGUUCUUAAGACUCUGUUAUUAGGGAAGAACAGAUGUGUAAGUAACUGUGCACACCUUGACGGUACCUAACCAGAAAGCCACGGCUAACUACGUG